GAUUGUCGAGUUCUGAGUCCCGAGGCGUCGUCGAUAUGGCAACCAGGCCAACAGAACAGGCGGGGCUGGCCAAGAGGGAGAGUGGGGAUGUCCUCGUUCCAGGACCUCGACUUUCGCUUCGUGUCGAUCCGAUGCGAUUCGGCUGCGCUUUCGGUUCGGUUUCGGCUUUCGACGCGCUGCACUCGCUGCGACCAGAGUUUUGAAGUUCCCGCUGGCCAGGACUCGCAUCAGUUGCCGCCGACUUGUUGGGUCAUUUGCAUAUAAAUCGAUCAGUGCGCCAGUAAUCGGUCGACGGAACAUAAACAUUCUAACUACACUAACGAUCAAUUAGUAGUGUCGCGAUAUCGCCAAGUGAUUACACUCUAUUUCCUCGAAAUAAAUAAAUAUCUUAAAUAACUGAUUUUCCCGCCCGCAAUGUCAAGGACGUUGUCGCAUUGUCGUUGCCAUCCACAUCCACUCGGUCGAAGCUAAUUUCAUUGGGGGGCAAACGAGGGAAUCGGGCCAAAAGGCUGGCGCCCGCCGGUGGGAAUUUCAUCAGCUGUUGUUGUUUAUUCUGCAGCGGCAACAGCGGCAGUCGGCCUAAUAAAAAUGCAAUUUUUAUGGUUAAGAAAAUAGAGCGCGGCCGCCGUUGGGUUGCACAUUGGAAAUUGUGCAGAAGCCAGAAGAAAAUGUGUCUUGGAAAAUGGAAAAGCCCGAGUAUCACCAGCAGCAGUAGCAAUAACAUUGAGCGAGUGAUGUAAUACAGAGCAAAAGUGAAGCGGCAAUUGGCAUUGCAAAAAAGAAACAGAUUAUACAAUUUGUGUUGCUGCUGGAGUGAACUAGGACAACAGCAGCAACAUCAGCGGCAACAACAGUUGCAAUUGCAGCAGCAACACUUGAAGCGGCAACAGCAGCAACA